rnacentral:rRNA from 1 species
UACAGAGGGGGCAAGCGUUGUUCGGAAUUACUGGGCGUAAAGGGCGCGUAGGCGGCCUUCUAAGUCGAACGUGAAAUUCCCGGGCUUAACCUGGGGGCUGCAUUUGAUACGUGUGAUCUAGAGUGAGGAAGAGGGUCGUGGAAUUCCCAGUGUAGAGGUGAAAUUCGUAGAUAUUGGGAAGAACACCGGUGGCGAAGGCGGCGACCUGGUCCUUGACUGACGCUGAGGCGCGAAAGCGUGGGGAGCAAACAGG